AAAUGCUGAGAUAAAUCAGGGAACACCACAAGUCAGUCAACAUUCACCUCCAGCUGGCCAACAGCAGCAACUAUUGAGGAUCCUGGAAUAACAAAAAUCCCUUUGUUCCUUACUCAAACGAGAAGGAAAUACCGAGAGAUUGGACAUCCAUUUGUCUGGAAAGGGUAUAGAAUCUCCUGCUUGAGCAGGGGUUUGGAUUAGGAGACCUCCAAGGUCUCACUUUUUGUGUGGGAAGAUUCUUCCAAAACAGACAAUCUGCCAAUAUGCUCUCAAUCCAAAUCAUCAAAGUGACAGAAGUCGAGUGGAAUAAACUUUCAAAC